AAGUCAUAACAAGGUUUCCGUAGGUGAACCUGCGGAAGGAUCAUUAAUAAUGCCCUCUGACGCAAGUCAUUGGGUUAGAUCUGCUCUCUUCGCAAGAAGAGGGUUUCCAUACACACCGUGAACUGUGGCUUCGGCCAUCACAAACUGUUAGUAAUGAAUGUAAUAUCAUAACAAAAACAAAACUUUUAACAACGGAUCUCUUGGUUCUG
rnacentral:misc_RNA from 1 species